rnacentral:rRNA from 1 species
ACGAACGCUGGCGGCGUGCUUAACACAUGCAAGUCGAACGGAAAGGCCCCUUUGGGGGUACUCGAGUGGCGAACGGGUGAGUAACACGUGAGUAACCUGCCCUUGACUUCGGGAUAACUUCAGGAAACUGGGGCUAAUACCGGAUAGGAAUCCUUGCUGCAUGGUGGGGAUUGGAAAGCUUCGGCGGUUUUGGAUGGACUCGCGGCUUAUCAGCUUGUUGGUGGGGUAGUGGCUUACCAAGGCUUUGACGGGUAGCCGGCCUGAGAGGGCGACCGGCCACAUUGGGACUGAGAUACGGCCCAGACUCCUACGGGAGGCAGCAGUGGGGAAUAUUGCACAAUGGGCGGAAGCCUGAUGCAGCAACGCCGCGUGCGGGAUGACGGCCUUCGGGUUGUAAACCGCUUUCAGCAGGGGCGAAGCUUGUGGUGACGGUACCUGCAGAAGAAGCACCGGCUAACUACGUG